GGGAGGUCGGCCAUGGAGGUCCAACGCGGGCCGGUAGCAGCCAUGGACGGACGGAGACGCCCCAAACCCUACCCCGGACGACGCCUCAACCUUCAAGGACGCGCGCCGGCGACCGCAGAUCUCCGGUGACGGCUAUGUUGAGAUGACUGCCCCGGAUCUGGACGCACAACCUGCAGCUGCAGCAGCAGUUGGACGACCGAACGCACGAGCCCUCCCUCCCUCCCUCAUGGUUCUACUUCCUCCUACCCUGCCCCCUCACGUGGGCGUGGUGAGCUUCCUACCCCCCGGUGCACAUCUCAUCUAAUCUCAUCAAAUCUAGAUUUCUCUGGACGUAUUUAUUGUUCUGGACACAACUUGGUUCUCUUCAGUUUGAUGUCACUCCUUUCCUGCCGGAGUGAGUCAGUCAAAUACUCCUACUAGCAGUAUAAGAUGUUUGCCGACUUUGAAAAAUGAUAGAUAGUAAAAAAACGCUAAUGAGGUUGUGCAGCGGCGGACGUAUGACUGCUACCUGCACAAGCGGAUGGCCCUACGAGCCGGACCAACCUCCAGCUGCUGUGGCGUACCACGGGCAGAUUUAUCCCAACGAGGAAACAAUGAGCCCAAAAAUUAAAUUAAAACAAAUCGACGCCAACAGCGAUGGGGGUGAGUAAGCUAUUCAUAUUUCUUUUCGUCUGUGGAUGCAUUGAUGGGGCGCCGACAGACCAUGACGCUUGAAGAUAUGGAGGCGACAAAUCUGUGCCGAUCCCCUCUUGGUGAUAACUCUAGCCGAGCCCCUCUUGGUGACAUUCCUAAUCUUGAGCAUCCUUCCCAAAUGACACAGUGCCCGCGCUAGCAGCAAGAGAAAGAGAAUCAAGUUGGUGGAGAAAUUCAAGCAACAACUGAAAAUGCUAAUAAUGCCAGCAAUGCAUUCAGGAGUUACACAGACUUGCUAAU